rnacentral:rRNA from 1 species
CGUAGGGUACGAGCAUUAAUCGGAAUUAUUGGGCGUAAAGGGCGGCGUAGGCGGAAUUGUAAGUCAGAUGUGAAAUACCAAAGCUCAACUUUGGUGCUGCAUUUGAAACUACAAAUCUCGAGGACUGACGGAGAAAGCGGAAUUCCACGUGUAGCGGUGAAAUGCGUAGAUACGUGGAGGAACACCGGUGGCGAAAGCGGCUUUCUAGUUUUUACCUGACGCUGAGGCGCGAGAGCAAGGGGAGCAAACAGGAUUAGAUACCCUGGUAGUCCUUGUCGUAAACGAUGUGUACUUGAUGUAGCUGGGCUCAACCCUAGCUGUAUCGGAGCUAACGCGUUAAGUACACCGCCUGAGGAGUACGCUCGCAUGAUUA